GCUUUUUUAGCUUAACAUAAAGUAUAAUACUGAAAAUAUUAAGAUAUUAGUAAUAAUUUAAAGCA
rnacentral:tRNA from 1 species